rnacentral:rRNA from 1 species
AGUCUAAGUAUAAGUGAUUCURAUGACGAAACUGCGAAUGGCUCGGUAAAACAGCAAUAAUUUCUUCGAUGGUAACCUACUAUACGGAUAACCGUAGUAAUUCUAGAGCUAAUACGUGCCAUAAACGCGAGUUUUUCUCGUGGUGCCAAUUAGAUAACAACACCAACAUAUGGUGAUUCAUAAUUUUCUUUCUGAUCGCUGAGCAAUUAGCGACGCAUCGUUCAAAUUUCUGACCUAUCAACUUUAGAUGGUAAGGUAGUGUCUUACCAUGGUGGCAACGGGUAACGGACCGUGGGUGCGGGACUCCGGAGAGGGAGCCUGAGAAACGGCUACCACAUCCWAGGAAGGCAGCAGGCGCGCAAAUUACCCACUCGGGAUUCCCGGAGGUAGUGACAAGAAAUAUCAAUAGGGGACCCUAUGGGUCUUCUAAUUGGAAUGAGAACAAGCUAAACAGCUUAUCGAGAAUCCAGCAGAGGGCAAGUCUGGUGCCAGCUGCCGCGGGUUAAUUCCGUUAACGAGCGAGACCUGGGCGUGCUAAAUAGGGGCUACUACCGCUUUGGUAGUACGUCACCCCUUCUUAGACGGACUGCGGGCGUCUAGUCCGCGGAAGCUCCAGGCAAUAACAGGUCUGAGAUGCCCUUAGAUGUUCUGGGCCGCACGCGUGCUACACUGAGUGGAUCAGCGGGUCAGGUUGCACGAAAGUGUUUCCUAAUCUUUAAAUCCGCUCGUGAUGGGGAUUGAGGGUUGCAAUUUUCCCUCAUGAACGAGGAAUACCUUGUAAGCGUGGGUCAUCAUCCCGCGCUGAAUACGUCCCUGCCCUUUGUACACACCGCCCGUCGCUCCUACCGAUUGAGUGGUCCGGUGAGGCUUUGGGAUUGUAGCGGGAAGAGCGCAUCGCUCGUUCUGCCACGAGAACUCAGUCGAACCUUAUCAUUUAGAGGAA